AGAGGCAACAGAGAGAAUAUGGGACAACGGGUGAGAGUCUGAUACAGCCAUCCAAAGUGAAGGAUGACGGCCCUAUGGCUUGUGAACUUCUUUGGUAUGGGGAUGAACCUAACUUCGGGGGGAAAACUGAAGGUACAAUAAGAAUAAGCACCGGCUGACUCGGAGCCAGCAGCCGAGGUAAUACGGAGGAUGCGAGAGUUGUCCGGAUUUAGUGGGUAUAGAGGGUCAGUAGGCGGAUUUGUAAGUCAGUGGAGAAAUCGCACAGCCUAACUGAAAAAAUACCAUUGAUACUGUAGGGAUUGAAUGUUGGUGAAGUGGAUAGAAUAAGUAGUGGAGCGAUAAAAUGCAUAGAUGGUACGUAGAACACCAAUUGGGAAGGCAGGUUACUAACCAACAACUGACGGUGAUGGAAGAGAGCGUGGGGAGCGAACAGGAUUAGAUACCCUUGUAGACCACUCUGUAAUCGAUGGAAAAUCGUUUUUAAAGUUGG
rnacentral:rRNA from 1 species